AUUGAACGCUGGCGGCAGGCUUAACACAUGCAAGUCGAGCGGGGGAAGGUAGCUUGCUACCGGACCUAGCGGCGGACGGGUGAGUAAUGCUUAGGAAUCUGCCUAUUAGUGGGGGACAACAUCUCGAAAGGGAUGCUAAUACCGCAUACGUCCUACGGGAGAAAGCGGGGGCUCUUCGGACCUUGCUCUAAUAGAUGAGCCUAAGUCGGAUUAGCUAGUUGGUGGGGUAAAGGCCUACCAAGGCGACGAUCUGUAGCGGGUCUGAGAGGAUGAGCCGACACACUGGGACGGAGACACGGCCAAGACUCCUACGGGAGGCAGCAGUGGGGAAUAUUGGACAAUGGGGGGAACCCUGAUCCAGCCAUGCCGCGUGUGUGAAGAAGGCCUUAUGGUUGUAAAGCACUUUAAGCGAGGAGGAGGCUACUCUAGUUAAUACCUAGGGAUAGUGGACGUUACUCGCAGAAUAAGCACCGGCUAACUCUGUGCCAGCCGCCGCCGUAAGAC
rnacentral:rRNA from 1 species